GUUUGAUCCUGGCUCAGGAUGAACGCUGGCGGUCUGCUUAACACAUGCAAGUCGAACGGGCGCAGAAAUGCGUUAGUGGCGGACGGGUGAGUAACACGUGAGAAUCUGCCAACAGGACGGGGACAACAGAGGGAAACCGCUGCUAAGACCCGAUAAACCGAAAGGGAAAAAAGAAAUUGCCAGUUGAUGAGCUCGCGUCGGAUUAGCUAGUUGGUAGUGUAAGGGACUACCAAGGCGACGAUCCGUAGCCGGUCUGAGAGGACGAUCGGCCACACUGGGACUGAGACACGGCCCAGACUCCUACGGGAGGCAGCAGUGGGGAAUUUUCCGCAAUGGGCGAAAGCCUGACGGAGCAAGACCGCGUGAGGGAGGAAGGCUCUUGGGUUGUAAACCUCUUUUCUCAAGGAAGAAGAAAUGACGGUACUUGAGGAAUCAGCAUCGGCUAACUCCGUGCCAGCAGCCGCGGUAAUACGGAGGAUGCAAGCGUUAUCCGGAAUGAUUGGGCGUAAAGCGUCCGCAGGUGGCAGUUCAAGUCUGCCGUUAAAGACUCCAGCUUAACUGGAGGAAGGCGGUGGAAACUGAACAGCUAGAGUGCGGUAGGGGCAGAGGGAAUUCCCGGUGUAGCGGUGAAAUGCGUAGAGAUCGGGAAGAACACCAGUGGCGAAAGCGCUCUGCUGGACCGCAACUGACACUCAGGGACGAAAGCUAGGGGAGCGAAUGGGAUUAGAUACCCCAGUAGUCCUAGCCGUAAACGAUGGAUACUAGGUGUUGUGCGUAUCGACCCGCGCAGUGCCGCAGCUAACGCGCUAAGUAUCCCGCCUGGGGAGUACGCACGCAAGUGUGAAGCUCAAAGGAAUUGACGGGGGCCCGCACAAGCGGUGGAGUAUGUGGUUUAAUUCGAUGCAACGCGAAGAACCUUACCAGGACUUGACAUGUCCGGAAUCUCGGUGAAAGCUGCGAGUGCCUUCGGGAACCGGAACACAGGUGGUGCAUGGCUGUCGUCAGCUCGUGUCGUGAGAUGUUGGGUUAAGUCCCGCAACGAGCGCAACCCUCGUUUCUAGUUGCCAGCAUUAAGUUGGGCACUCUGGAGAGACUGCCGGUGACAAACCGGAGGAAGGUGGGGAUGACGUCAAGUCAGCAUGCCCCUUACGUCCUGGGCUACACACGUACUACAAUGCUUCAGACAAAGGGCAGCUAGCCAGCGAUGGUCAGCAAAUCCCAGAAACUGAGGCUCAGUUCAGAUCGCAGGCUGCAACUCGCCUGCGUGAAGGCGGAAUCGCUAGUAAUCGCCGGUCAGCAUACGGCGGUGAAUACGUUCCCGGGCCUUGUACACACCGCCCGUCACACCAUGGGAGCUGGCGGUGCCCGAAGUCGUUAUCCUAACCCCUCGGGGAGGGAGACGCCGAAGGCAAAGCUGGUGACUGGGGUGAAGUCGUAACAAGGUAACCGUA
rnacentral:rRNA from 1 species